UACGUAGGGGGCAAGCGUUGUCCGGAAUCAUUGGGCGUAAAGCGCGCGUAGGCGGCCCUGUAAGUCCGUUGUGAAAGUCAAAGGCUCAACCUUUGAAAGCCGAUGGAUACUGCAGGGCUAGAGUCCGGAAGAGGCGAGUGGAAUUCCUGGUGUAGCGGCGGAAUGCGCAGAUAUCAGGAGGAACACCAAUAGCGAAGGCAGCUCGCUGGGACGGUACUGACGCUAAGGCGCGAAAGCGUGGGGAGCGAACAGG
rnacentral:rRNA from 1 species